CCCCGCACGGGGGGACAACAGCCGGAAACGGCUGCUAAUACCGCAUAUGCGCACGGCCCCGCAUGGGGCCGCGCGGAAAGCGCAUGCGGUGCGGGAUGGGUCCGCGUCUGAUUAGCUUGUUGGCGGGGUAACGGCCCACCAAGGCGACGAUCAGUAGCCGGCCUGAGAGGGUGGACGGCCACAUUGGGACUGAGACACGGCCCAGACUCCUACGGGAGGCAGCAGUGGGGGAUAUUGCACAAUGGGGGCAACCCUGAUGCAGCGACGCCGCGUGAGCGAUGGAGUACUUCGGUACGUAAAGCUCUGUCAGCAGGGAAGAGAAUGACGGUACCUGACCAAGAAGCCCCGGCUAAAUACGUGCCAGCAGCCGCGGUAAUACGUAUGGGGCAAGCGUUAUCCGGAUUUACUGGGUGUAAAGGGAGCGUAGGCGGCAGGGCAAGCCUGAUGUGAAAGCCCGGGGCUCAACCCCGGGACUGCAUUGGGAACUGCCCCGCUCGAGUGCCGGAGGGGCAGGCGGAAUUCCUAGUGUAGCGGUGAAAUG
rnacentral:rRNA from 1 species